rnacentral:rRNA from 1 species
ACGUAGACCCGAAACCGGGCGACCUACCCAUGAGCAGGAUGAAGCGAAAGUAAAAUUUCGUGGAGGUCCGAACCCACGAGCGUUGAAAAGCUCGGGAUGACUUGUGGGUAGCGGUGAAAUUCCAAUCGAGCCCGGAGAUAGCUGGUUCUCCCGAAAUAGCUUUAGGGCUAGCCUCAAGGUGAGAGAUACGGAGGUAGAGCACUGAAUGUCCUAGGGGGUAUUGCACCUACCGAAGACUAUCAAACUCCGAAUGCCGUCAUCUUAUACUUGGGAGUCAGACUGUGGGUGAUAAGAUUCAUAGUCGAAAGGGCAACAGCCCAGAUCGUCAGCUAAGGUCCCUAAAUGUAAGUUAAGUGGUAAAGGGUGGGAUUGCACAGACAACCAGGAUGUUGGCUUAGAAGCAGCCACUCAUUCAAAGAGUGCGUAAUAGCUCACUGGUCGAGUGAUCCUGCGCCGAAGAUUUCCGGGGCUAAAACUUACUACCGAAGCUACGGCAUCAGUAAUGAUGGGUAGGGGAGCUUCCCAUACGGGUUGAAGCAUGACCGUAAGGACAUGUGGACAGUAUGGGAGUGAGAAUGUUGGCAUGAGUAGCGAGAUGUGGGUGAGAAUCCCACAGGCCGUAAACCCAAGGUUUCCAGGGAAAGGUUCGUCCGCCCUGGGUUAGUCGGGACCUAAGCUGAGGCCGAAGGCGUAGGUGAUGGACAACAGGUUGAUAUUCCUGUACUACCGAUAACCGUUUGAGAGAAGGGAUGACACAGUAGGAUAAGCUAAGCACACUGUUGGUUAUGUGUGCCCAAGCAUUGAGGCAGUCAAAGUAGGCAAAUCCGCUUUGAUAAUGCUGGGAUGUGAUGGGGAGCGAAAUUUAGUAGCGAAGUAGCUGAUUUCACACUGUCAAGAAAAGUCUCUAUCGAGGUUAAAGGUACCCGUACCGCAAACCGACACAGGUGGGUGAGGAGAGUAUCCUAAGGCCAGCGAGAGAACUGUUGUUAAGGAACUCGGCAAAAUGACCCCGUAACUUAGGGAUAAGGGGUGCCACCAUCAGGUGGCCGCAGAGAAUAGGCCCAAGCGACUGUUUACCAAAAACAUAGGUUUCUGCUAAGUCGCAAGACGAUGUAUAGGAGCUGACGCCUGCCCGGUGCUGGAAGGUUAAGGGGAUCUGUUAGAGCAAUCGAAGCAGUGAACUUAAGCCCCAGUAAACGGCGGCCGUAACUAUAACGGUCCUAAGGUAGCGAAAUUCCUUGUCGGGUAAGUUCCGACCCGCACGAAAGGCGUAACGAUUUGGGCACUGUCUCAACAACAGACUCGGUGAAAUUGUAAUUCCGGUGAAGAUGCCGGAUACCUGCGACAGGACGGAAAGACCCCAUGGAGCUUUACUGUAGCUUGACAUUGGGUCUUGGUACUACAUGUACAGGAUAGGUGGGAGGCUUUGAAACCAGGACGCCAGUUUUGGCGGAGCCAUCCUUGGGAUACCACCCUUGUAGUACUGGGACUCUAACCAUAGGCCAUGAAUCUGGUCUUGGGACACUGUCAGGUGGGCAGUUUGACUGGGGCGGUCGCCUCCCAAAAGGUAACGGAGGCGCUCAAAGGUUCUCUCAGUACGGUCGGAAAUCGUACGUAGAGUGUAAAGGCAAAAGAGAGCUUGAUUGCAAGACAUACAGGUCGAGCAAGGAUGAAAAUCGGACUUAGUGAUCCGGUGGUUCUGCGUGGAAGGGCCAUCGCUCAACGGAUAAAAGCUACCCUGGGGAUAACAGGCUUAUCUCCCCCAAGAGUCCACAUCGACGGGGAGGUUUGGCACCUCGAUGUCGGCUCAUCACAUCCUGGGGCUGUAGUAGGUCCCAAGGGUUGGGCUGUUCGCCCAUUAAAGUGGUACGCGAGCUGGGUUCAGAACGUCGUGAGACAGUUCGGUCCCUAUCCGUCGCAGGCGUAGGAAAUUUGAGAAGACCUGUCCUUAGUACGAGAGGACCGGGAUGGACGUACCUCUGGUGUACCAGUUGUCCUGCCAAGGGCAUGGCUGGGUAGCUAUGUACGGAAUGGAUAAGCGCUGAAAGUAUCUAAGCGCGAAGUCAACUUCAAGAUAAGAUUUCCCACCGCAAGGGUAAGACCCCAGAAAGACUAUCUGGUUGAUAGGUCGAAGGUGUAAGUGCAGCAAUGUAUUUAGCUUAUCGAUACUAAUAGGUCGAGGACUUGACCAA